UUUCAAUUAUUUUGGAACAGGCCAAGAAGAUUACAAUAGAUUAAGACCUUUAAGCUAUCGAGGAGCUGAUGUAUUCCUGCUAGCAUUCUCUCUUAUAAGCAGGGCUAGCUAUGAAAAUGUUGCCAAGAAAUGGAUUCCUGAGUUGAGGCAUUAUGCUCCUGGUGUUCCAAUUAUUCUUGUUGGAACAAAACUUG